rnacentral:rRNA from 1 species
GACGAACGCUGGCGGCGUGCCUAAUACAUGCAAGUCGAACGGUCUUUUCUAUGGAGGCUUGCUUCCACUGAGAAGAUAGUGGCGAACGGGUGAGUAACACGUGGGUAACCCGCCCAUAAGAUGGGGAUAACAUCCGGAAACGGGUGCUAAUACCGCAUAGGUCUCUUGAUCGCAUGAUCGAGAAAGGAAAGACGGCCUUGGUGCUGUCGCUCAUGGAUGGACCCGCGGCGUAUUAGUUAGUUGGUGAGGUAACGGCUCACCAAGACGAUGAUACGUAGCCGAGCUGAGAGGGUGAUCGGCCACAUUGGGACUGAGACACGGCCCAAACUCCUACGGGAGGCAGCAGUAGGGAAUCUUCCGCAAUGGACGAAAGUCUGGCGGAGCAACGCCGCGUGAGUGAAGAAGGUUUUCGGAUCGUAAAACUCUGUUGUCAGAGAAGAACAAGUCGGAGAGUAACUGCUCCGGCCUUGACGGUAUCUGACCAGAAAGCCACGGCUAACUACGUGCCAGCCGCCGCGGUAAACC